ensembl:lncRNA
GUGAAGAACAAUGCUUUCUGGGGAUGUAUUUUGUGUAAAUUCCCAGAGGGGGUAACUAACUAAGGUAUCAGAAGAAAAACAGCCUUUUCUUGUAUUUUACCAUCACUGACAAUUUUGUUAGACAGUAGUUUUUACAUAUUGGCAACGCCAUUUGGUUUGACCUUUGUAGCAAAAAUGCUAAGUCAAGGCCUGAAACAGUAUGCACCUGAUGGGAGGGCAGGGCCAACCCAAGGGUACUCAGCUGCAUGCAGUGCACCUGAGUGACUGCAAGGGGUGCAGCUAGGAUCCACCCCCUCCCAGACCUCAUUUAAGGGUUGGCAGUGGAGGUAAGAGUGUUUUCCUGGAGAUCCCUGUCUACUUCAUGCUUUCUGAGGGGAGGUGAUAUGAGAUAACCAGCAUGGUUUCACCAAAGGCAAGUCCUGCCUGACCGAUCUUGUCUCUUUUUUUUGAUGCCAUAACUGCAUCAGUGGAAAAGGAAGAACCAGUGAAGUGAGACCUCUGACACAUUCCCCCGUAACAUCCUUCUCUCCAAAUUGAAAAGGUACACAUUUGAUGGGUUGGCUGUUUGAUGGACAAGGAACUGGUUAUUAGUUGUACUCAAAGAGUGG